rnacentral:tRNA from 1 species
GGGCACAUGGUGUAGUUGGUUAUCACGCUCGCUUAGCAUGCUUUGCCAGCUGCGAGAGGUGUCCGGUUCAAUUCCGGAUGUGUCCA